GGAGUUGCUGUAGCUCAGUGGUAGAACAUUUGCUUGGCGUGCAGAAGGUCUCAGGUUCAAUCCUGGAUAUCUCUG
rnacentral:tRNA from 1 species